rnacentral:rRNA from 1 species
UGCCUACGGGAGGCAGCAGUGGGGAAUAUUGCACAAUGGGGGAAACCCUGAUGCAGCGACGCCGCGUGAGUGAAGAAGUAUCUCGGUAUGUAAAGCUCUAUCAGCAGGAAAGAUAAUGACGGUACCUGACUAAGAAGCCCCGGCUAACUACGUGCCAGCAGCCGCGGUAAUACGUAGGGGGCAAGCGUUAUCCGGAUUUACUGGGUGUAAAGGGAGCGUAGACGGCAGCGCAAGUCUGAAGUGAAAGCCCGCGGCCCAACUGCGGGACUGCUUUGGAAACUGCCCGGCUAGAGUGCUGGAGAGGG